UACGUAGGGUGCAAGCGUUAAUCGGAAUUACUGGGCGUAAAGCGUGCGCAGGCGGUUGUGCAAGACAGAUGUGAAAUCCCCGGGCUCAACCUGGGAACUGCAUUUGUGACUGCACAGCUUGAGUGCGGCAGAGGGGGGGAUGGAAUUCCGCGUGUAGCAGUGAAAUGCGUAGAUAUGCGGAGGAACACCGAUGGCGAAGGCAAUCCCCUGGGCCUGCACUGACGCUCAUGCACGAAAGCGUGGGGAGCAAACAGGA
rnacentral:rRNA from 1 species